rnacentral:rRNA from 1 species
ACGGGAGGCAGCAGUGGGGAAUAUUGGACAAUGGGGGAAACCCUGAUCCAGCGACGCCGCGUGAGUGAAGAAGUAUUUCGGUAUGUAAAGCUCUAUCAGCAGGGAAGAUAAUGACGGUACCUGACUAAGAAGCCCCGGCUAACUACGUGCCAGCAGCCGCGGUAAUACGUAGGGGGCAAGCGUUAUCCGGAUUUACUGGGUGUAAAGGGAGCGUAGACGGUAUGGCAAGUCUGAUGUGAAAACCCAGGGCUCAACCCUGGGACUGCAUUGGAAACUGUCAAACUAGAGUGCAGGAGAGGUAGGCGGAAUUCCUAGUGUAGCGGUGAAAUGCGUAGAUAUUAGGAGGAACACCAGUGGCGAAGGCGGCCUGCUGGACGACAACUGACGCUGAGGCGCGAAAGCGUGGGGAGCAAACAGGAUUAGAUACCCUGGUA